GAUGAACGCUGGCGGCGUGCUUAACACAUGCAAGUCGAACGAUGAAGCCCAGCUUGCUGGGUGGAUUAGUGGCGAACGGGUGAGUAACACGUGAGUAACCUGCCCUUAACUCUGGGAUAAGCCUGGGAAACUGGGUCUAAUAUCGGAUAGGAGCGCCUACCGCAUGGUGGGUGUUGGAAAGAUUUAUCGGUUUUGGAUGGACUCGCGGCCUAUCAGCUUGUUGGUGAGGUAAUGGCUCACCAAGGCGACGACGGGUAGCCGGCCUGAGAGGGUGACCGGCCACACUGGGACUGAGACACGGCCCAGACUCCUACGGGAGGCAGCAGUGGGGAAUAUUGCACAAUGGGCGAAAGCCUGAUGCAGCGACGCCGCGUGAGGGAUGACGGCCUUCGGGUUGUAAACCUCUUUCAGUAGGGAAGAAGCGAAAGUGACGGUACCUGCAGAAGAAGCACCGGCUAACUACGU
rnacentral:rRNA from 1 species